AAUAAUCUCCAAAUUCGACUUGUCAAUUUUAUUUCUCAUGAAAAUAGCAAGUUAGGUCAAAGAAAUUAUCACACAAAGAGUCAAUUUGUUAGAACUUGCUUAGUAGUGAAUUGGGAACAAGAAGAAAAAGAAAAGGAUGGUGCUUCCCUUGUUGAGGUAAGAGCAAAUUGA
rnacentral:rRNA from 1 species